rnacentral:rRNA from 1 species
CCUACGGGAGGCUGCAGUGAUGAAUAUUGGUCAAUGGGCGCGAGCCUGAACCAGCCCAGUCGCGUGAGGGAAGACGGUCCUAUGGAUUGUAAACCUCUUUUGUCGGGGAGCAAAAGACGCCACGCGUGGCGUUCCGAGAGUACCCGAAGAAAAAGCAUCGGCUAACUCCGUGCCAGCCGCCGCGGUAAUACGGAGGAUGCGAGCGUUAUCCGGAGUUAUUGGGUGUAAAGGGAGCGCAGGCGGAAGAUCAAGUCAGCGGUAAAAUUGAGAGGCUCAACCUCUUCGAGCCGUUGAAACUGGUUUUCUUGAGUGAGCGAGAAGUAUGCGGAAUGCGUGGUGUAGCGGUGAAAUGCAUAGAUAUCACGCAGAACUCCGAUUGCGAAGGCAGCAUACCGGCGCUCAACUGACGCUCAUGCACGAAAGUGUGGGUAUCGAACAGGAUUAGAUACCCGAGUAGUC